GCGACCCCAGGUCAGGCGGGNAUCACCCGCUG
rnacentral:rRNA from 1 species